ensembl:lncRNA
CUGAUCUUAUCUCAUCGCUGCUGAGGUCAAACGAACUCAGGGGCCAUAAGAUAACGGCACCCACCUCAUUACUCACUGUGAUUGGCCUGGUGCCGAUGCUAUCUCAAGCAUUUACUUUUCAUAAACUUUAGUAUUUAUGCCUAAGGCAUGAUUCACACAGGUGUCUAUGAGGUUGUCAGUGUGGUGUGGUUGUUUCUGCUUGUGCAGUCUGCAGGGCAAGUGGCAACGAGUCCUCUCAUUAGGUUCCCCAAAACAGCAUUUAUUUGAAGGGGUUGUUUUAAAAUAAAAGUUAAAAAAAAAUAAUAUAUAUUCUUUGUGUUUACCGUGAAAGCGUAAUUGCAUAUCUUAUCCAUUUAAAAAAAAAAAAAAAAAAAAAAAAAUUAAAAAUCUUGUUGUGCCUUGCAUUUUCAAGCUGAAGAAAUAUCUUUACUGCCAUUGAUGGCAGCAUCCUGAUGGAGAAAGAAAGUCAGCACCUCUUGAAGGUGACGCUGAGCUUCGCAAGCUUCUGAUUUCCCAUCAGCUGCAGCUUCUGUUGGUGUAGCUGACACAUUUUACAUCUUGGUUUUUUUGUUUGUUUGUUUUUUGGGGGAUUUUUUUGUAUAUGAACGAAUGUGUUGGGUUUAAAGAAUACAGUGGGAACAGGAAGAAAAGGCCAGCAGUUAUACAUUAGAUUGUCUUCAUCAGUGCUUUCAAUCACCAUCAUCAUAAAAAUGACAUAUUGUAAAACCUCAACUUCCUGUUCAUGCUACAAGAUCUUUGUCAAAAUACUGAAAAGCAUCAGAAAACUGUAAUAUCAUAUUAUUAUUAUUAUUAUUAUUAUUAUUAUUAUUAUUAUUAUUGUGUAUUUUUUUUAAAAAUCUGGUUUGUUUUUGUCCGGGUGUAAUUGCCACCAGGGGGUGAUGUACAUGUACGGGUCUGAGCUGUACAUUUUUGUGACUGAUUUGUGUAUUUACAUACAGUUUGGGCUAACUUUGUGACUAUUAUAUGAAUUUAUGAAUUAAAUGAGUGCCAAAUAUGCUUGAGCAUGACAAAAUCCGGGACCUGCAAGGAGCUGCAGGCACUCUGACUCAUCAGAGCGAUGCCCGAGUGACUCACUGCUGUUGUAGACUCUCCUUGAGUUUUGAACGCACAGCUGAAGGUUUAAUCAUGCUUAAUAUUUUUGAUGAAAGUGCAGGGGGGACUUCUUUAUGUUUUGGUCUCAGUUUGAAAAAGUUUCUUCAGAUAUUUGUUGUAUGUUUCUGUGUCCACCCAUGGCUUAUUAAUGAGUAUGCAGUGAUGGUCUUAUCAUGCUGCCAUUAGAGGUGACUAUAAAAGCUUCAUUUGUUGAACUGUCAAAAAAGGAAAAAAAAAAAAAAAGAAAAAGGUCAUUUGGGUCAUUUUCAUUCUUAAAUCAUUCCACACAGAUGCGUUGUAUGUUAUCUGAACUCCUCUUCAUCCCCAAAAUAAGGUGAGCCUGACAUCUGGUGAAUUUUACCCUGAAUUUUAUCAAAUAUAGAGUGUGGAUUUGUCCAAAAUGUAAAAGUAAAUGUAAUUCUAAUAUUAAAAUGAAGCUAUGGAAAAAAAAAAAAAAUCCAUUGUGCACUAAAUGGUGUCGGUUUUUCAAAAACUAACAAAGCUUUUUCCC